rnacentral:rRNA from 5 species
AAAAACGACUCUCGGCAACGGAUAUCUCGGCUCUCGCAUCGAUGAAGAACGUAGCGAAAUGCGAUACUUGGUGUGAAUUGCAGAAUCCCGUGAACCAUCGAGUCUUUGAACGCAAGUUGCGCCCGAAGCCGUCAGGCCGAGGGCACGUCUGCCUGGGCGUCACGC